rnacentral:rRNA from 1 species
UACGGAGGGUGCUAGCGUUGUUCGGAAUUACUGGGCGUAAAGCGCUCGUAGGCGGUGUGUCGCGUCGGCCGUGAAAACCUGGGGCUCAACUCUGGGCGUGCGGUCGAUACGGGCAUCACUUGAGUUCGGCAGGGGAGACUGGAAUUCCUGGUGUAGCGGUGAAAUGCGCAGAUAUCAGGAGGAACACCGGUGGCGAAGGCGGGUCUCUGGGCCGAUACUGACGCUGAGGAGCGAAAGCAUGGGUAGCGAACAGG